UGGAAUAUAGCUCAGUGGUAGAGUGCUUGCCUAGCAUGCACAAGGACCUGAGUUCGAUCCCCAGCACUGCAG
rnacentral:tRNA from 1 species